CGUUUUGACACCCUUCAGAAAUCACGCUCUUUUUCUCACCUUUGUUUUCUCUUCAUUGGCUCAAAGUGAAGCGUUCAAAUUGUGAGUGAAAGGAAGCACUCUCGUUCUCGUCGUCCCAGUCGCUGCACUACAACAAGUAUGUAGAUUAAGCUUAACUCCUACUUUGUGUUGUCCUUAAAUGAGUUGAUUGUUAAUCGUUGAACUUAUAUGUGUCUUUGUCCCAUUAACAGUUUUAAUGUAACUUUUGAGCUCGAGUUCCUACAAUGAUUUCAAAAUGUAGAAUUUUCAAAUGGUUUCAAAUGCUUAAUAAGGAGUUCAGUUAGAAUGUUUCCCUUCGAUUUCUCAUUAGUAUAGUUUGUUAGCAGCUUCCUUUCAUUAGCUAAUAUCAACUUCAUCUUUUGUAUUCCUUGUCGUGUAUCAAGUAUUGAUUCGAGAGUUCACUGGCUUAAGUUCUUUUCUUGACUGUUUCUUGACUUAAAGUGUAUAUAGAACUCCGUCAUCUGACCAAAUUGGUUCAGUGUUUAUUUUGAUUAUUUUUCAAAAGUGUCCAGCUAGAUGACUCUUUAAGUGUUUCCCUGUGUCUUGGACAAAGCUUGUGAACCAUUUCUUUUCCUGUCUAAGUUAAAUGUUGAUAAUGUUAUUUGAUUAGGUGGUUGUAUGCUCGUGAGUUUAUUUGCCAGUGGUUAAAUGAAUAGCUAAAUGAGGUUAUGUCCAUGUACUGCUAUCUUGUCCAUUUAGUGCUAAUUUUUGGGUUGUGACAAGUAAGUAUGGAUCAUUGCAUUUUAGGUUUCACUUUAAUGAAGUUUUCUAGAAAGGACUAGUCUAUGCGAAAUGGGGUUUAUUUUCGUCUCUUUAUUUUGAUGAAUGACACUUGCAUUCCAACUUUUUUUUUUGUGUGUGUGUGAAUUAGUUAAGGUUUCACAAUCUCAGUGGUAUGUAUUAACUCACCUUUGCAUCUCUUUUUCUAGCUUGCUUAAUGGCAAGCCAACUUUCAUUUCAGAUUUUGUGAAUUUAACAUUUCGAAACCUGCCUAAUACAUUCAAAUUAUUAAGUUGUUUGAUGUCUAAACCUUACCAACUAAAGAAAGAUAUAAGAAAUUCUCCGCUACAAAUUUAUAACAAGAGUAAAAAAUAUGCAUAUAUCUUGAAGUACUUUUGGUGUUAGCUGUGGAGCUGUUUUGGUUCCCUUUCCCUGCUUGUGGAUGGUGAUUAUAAAGGUCUUGUUUUUUGAGGUUUUGGUCUUGGCUUAAUGCUGAUGUGUAGAUUAGUGUAAAGAGUCAAUGGACAUAUUGUUUAUCUUGAUGUUCCUUUGUGUGCUGAAUGGCUAGCAUGCUUUAGGAUUUGUUUGCUUUAUGGAAAAUUUGUUUUCUUUGGGUUAAGUUGAACAUGUCAAAAUUCUGCUCUCGUUUACUAUUUACGUGGUGUCUUUCUUUGGCCAUUGCUUUCCUUUCUUGUUUGAAGUUCAAGUCUUGUAAAUCCCCACUUUACUAAUCCUGUUUCCUUCAUUUUAUGCAUGACCCUCUCGUACGAGUCCAAUGGACUCAUUUUCUUCCCGCAUUCGGUGUUGGGCUAAAGCCCAACAUAAUAUUCUUUAUCGAGUCAGCCCCAUCAGCAGUGUAGCAAAAAGGAUUUUGGGCCAAAGCCCAUAUGGCAGAAGCAGAUUGCAGCGGCAUAAAAUGGGCCAGACCCAUCUAGCUAUAUUUUUCUCCUCUACUUUAUUUUCCUUUGUGUAUUUGAUUUGUAUUACAUGACUAACAUUUUACCUUGUUUUAUUUUCUUAACUUAGAUGAAUCCUAGCGGAAUACGUGAGAAUCGUAGUUGCCGAAAGAUUAAAUGUGGUUCUUUUGAUAAUCGUUAUCAUCUACAAAAUUUAUAGUCAAACGAAAUGAUUUCCCA